rnacentral:rRNA from 1 species
GAUGAACGCUGGCGGCGUGCCUAAUACAUGCGAGUCGAGCGAACAGGCGAGGAGCUUGCUCCUCUGACGUUAGCGGCGGACGGGUGAGUAACACGUGGAUAACCUACCUAUAAGACUGGGAUAACUUCGGGAAACCGGAGCUAAUACCGGAUAAUAUAUUGAACCGCAUGGUUCAAUAGUGAAAGACGGUUUUGCUGUCACUUAUAGAUGGAUCCGCGCCGCAUUAGCUAGUUGGUAAGGUAACGGCUUACCAAGGCAACGAUGCGUAGCCGACCUGAGAGGGUGAUCGGCCACACUGGAACUGAGACACGGUCCAGACUCCUACGGGAGGCAGCAGUAGGGAAUCUUCCGCAAUGGGCGAAAGCUUGACGGAGCAACGCCGCGUGAGUGAUGAAGGUCUUCGGAUCGUAAAACUCUGUUAUUAGGGAAGAACAAAUGUGUAAGUAACUAUGCACGUCUUGACGGUACCUAAUCAGAAAGCCACGGCUAACUACGUG